AAGGGAGAAGAGAGAUAUUCUCUUACAUUGUCACUGCGUAAAAAUUUCAUUGAAACACCAAACUGAUUACGAAUUUCAGCACAAAAAUUUUAAAAGAUAGAGAGUAAUUCAGAAUGAUUUUUUAUUAAAUAUAACGAAGUGCAAUGAGAAUAACAUCAAUAAAUGUAACAAAAUAAUUAUAUUCUAAAGUCAAACUGACACGACUUGGAUUCCAAAUGUCUGAAUGAACAAUGUCAAACA
rnacentral:misc_RNA from 1 species